CGAAUGAUUGUUUCUUUUGUUGUGUAGUAUCCAGAAAUUUUGUCUCGGCUCUGAACAAGUUUGUUGCUGAUCUUUAUUCUCCAAAUCAUUCAGUUUUCGAGUAUCAUGUCUAUGAAUUCUUCAUGAUAUCGAAGUGCUCUCGUGAUGAAGACCAACUAUCGUGGCCAACACAAAAGAUUUUGUUGGUAUGACAAGAUUCAAUUGUGUAAUUAUUUUAGUUUUGUUCUUUUUUUGCUGGAUGUAUAUAUAUGACCCUCAA